UACAGAGGUCCCAAGCGUUGUUCGGAUUCACUGGGCGUAAAGGGUGCGUAGGUGGCGUGGUAAGUUUGAUGUGAAAGCUCAGGGCUUAACCCUGAAAUGGCAUUGAAUACUACUGUGCUGGAGGUUUGGAGGGGGGACUGGAAUUCUUGGUGUAGCAGUGAAAUGCGUAGAUAUCAAGAGGAACACCAGUGGCGAAGGCGAGUCCCUGGACAACACCUGACACUGAGGCACGAAAGCUAGGGGAGCAAAC
rnacentral:rRNA from 1 species